AGAACAAAGGCGAGAAUGAAGUUCCAAAACUUGCCACAUUCUCUUGCAGUGGAUGCAGCCACAGGAAACUCUCAUCUUACAUCCAGCAAAGUGACGAAUGAGCAAUUCUAGCCCUUUACAUGCUGCAUAUUUACAAGGUGUUUGAUCUUUUUUCAAGACCUUAUCGUAUGGACCAAUAGUUCGACAACCAUCUUUGCAUAUGUGAACCAGAGCUUCCAUUGCCUCAUAUAGUUGCACAUACACUUUUCUCUCAUUCAUUUUUCUCACUCUUUCCUUCUUCAUCUGCAACCAAAUUAGAAAAAGAGUUUAACUACAAAACAUUGACAGUAUAAGGAGAUUAUGUUAUUAUCAGGUAUACCUACAAUUACUUGUCUAUAAAAAGUGGAAUUAUAUAGUAACCUGAAAAAUAACACUGAUUACCCGCUAAAGGAUUUAAGCUAUAUUCAUUUACACUAUAAUGCAAUUUAUCAGGUUAUAGUAGGUAAUUACUCCACUUUCUGAGUUACUAUAUCAGACUAGAUAUAAAGAAUGACAUGUUAUUAUAAGUCAAUCUGAUGGUGUAAGAAAUUGAUGAGUGUGCAAAACUUAAACUACCUAAUAAAACAGGUUAAAAGACACUGUUAGAAUGAACAAUUUUUUCAUGGCCAAUGUAAAUCCAGUUAGAAAAGAAGAGACCAAAAAAAAACAUAAACAGGAUUGACAUCAUUUUGGAUUCAACUUACAAUAUCCUCAUCAUUUACAGAUUUCAAAAUCUGUUUUUCAAGCACAGGGUGGCUUUUUUUCAUGGCUUCCCAUCCUUGUGUAGAAGAUAUAGCCUUGAAACGUUUCAACAUAAAACGGUGACAAAAGAGGCUAAGGCGAGGGGCAUCACAUAGAAGUGCAAUCUGAAAGAUGUCAACCACAUUGUCC
rnacentral:lncRNA from 1 species